rnacentral:tRNA from 1 species
GGUUCUGUGUUCUAGUGGUUAUGAACCUCGGUUCUGAUGCGAGACCAUUCUCAGCAAGACUCCGAGUAGCCCCGGUUCGAUUCCGGGCAGGACCU